CAUUUUCCUUUCCAUUUAGCUGGAGGAGGACCAACUCCUUUGUCAUCAAAGCUCGGUGAGUCUACAUCGAUCCCUUAUCACAAGAACAAAAGGUUUGUAAUUUACGUGAUAGCUUCUCUGCUUCAUGAGGGUAAAGCCUUGCAGCAAAUCCAUUAAUGUUCUUCCCAUAGCUAUAUAUUUUAACUUCUCUUGCUUUGCUCUCGCUGCAAAAAAGUAUACAACUUUGAAUAAAAAAUUCGGAUAAAUCAAUGGCUAUUCUAUGAGGAAGAGCUGGUUCUUACUCUCCGAUCACUGUCAAUAGAAGAUUGUGAUGGUUCUCUGCGGCUUCAACAUGAGAAUUCUCAGUUGCUUCUCCCAUGUACACAAUGCUUUAAUCAAAGACGCGGUAAGACUUUCUCGUAAAACCGAGUAAACCGAUCUCCAUCCUUCUUCAGUAGGGUGAAGUCCAUCCCAAAAGAAAGCAGUUUUAGG